GACGAACGCUGGCGGCGUGCCUAAUACAUGCAAGUCGAGCGAACGGGCUGGGAGCUUGCUCCUUGAUGGUUAGCGGCGGACGGGUGAGUAACACGUGGAUAACCUGCCUGUAAGACUGGGAUAACUUCGGGAAACCGGAGCUAAUACCGGAUAAUAUUUUGCUUCGCAUGGGGGAGAAGUGAAAGACGGCCUUGGUGUCACUUCUAGAUGGGUCCCCGCUCGAUUGGCUAGUUGGGAGGGUAACGGGCUACCAAGGGAACGAGUCCUGACCGACCUGGGAGGGUGAUCGCCCACCUUGGAGCUGGGCCAGGCUCCAUCCUCCUCCGGGAGGAACCAGACGGGAACCUUCGGCAAUGGGGGAAAGCUUGACGGAGCACGCCGGCGUGAGUGUGAAAGGUCUCCGGAUCGUAAACCCCUGUUUUUGGGGAGAAACAGAUUUGUACGUAAAUGUCGAUAUCUUGACGGUACCUAAUCAGAAAGCCACGGCUAACUACGUG
rnacentral:rRNA from 1 species